rnacentral:rRNA from 1 species
UGGGGAAUUUUCCGCAAUGGGCGAAAGCCUGACGGAGCGACGCCGCGUGGAGGAUGACGUCUUUCGGGAUGUAAACUCCUGUCAGGGGGGACGAUGAUGACGGUACCCCCAAAGGAAGCAUCGGCUAACUACGUGCCAGCAGCCGCGGUAAGACGUAGGAUGCGAGCGUUGUUCGGAAUUAUUGGGCGUAAAGCGUGCGUAGGCGGCGAUCUAAGUCUGGUGUUAAAGCUAGGGGCUCAACCCCUGUGAUGCACUGGAAACUGGGUCGCUUGAGUGUGGUAGGGGAAGGUGGAAUUCCGAGUGUAGCGGUGAAAUGCGUAGAUAUUCGGAAGAACACCGGUGGCGAAGGCGACCUUCUGGGCCACUACUGACGCUGAGGCACGAAAGCGUGGGGAGCAAACG